UACGUAGGGCGCAAGCGUUGUCCGGAAUUAUUGGGCGUAAAGAGCUCGUAGGCGGUUUGUCGCGUCUGCUGUGAAAACCUAAGGCUCAACCUUGGGCUUGCAGUGGGUACGGGCAGACUAGAGUGCGGUAGGGGUGACUGGAAUUCCUGGUGUAGCGGUGGAAUGCGCAGAUAUCAGGAGGAACACCGAUGGCGAAGGCGGGUCUCUGGGCCGAUACUGACACUGAGGAGCGAAAGCGUGGGGAGCGAACAGG
rnacentral:rRNA from 1 species